rnacentral:rRNA from 1 species
CGACUGGGUGGAUUAGUGGCGAACGGGUGAGUAACACGUGAGUAACCUGCCCUUAACUCUGGGAUAAGCCUGGGAAACUGGGUCUAAUACCGGAUAGGAGCGCCUACCGCAUGGUGGGUGUUGGAAAGAUUUAUCGGUUUUGGAUGGACUCGCGGCCUAUCAGCUUGUUGGUGAGGUAAUGGCUCACCAAGGCGACGACGGGUAGCCGGCCUGAGAGGGUGACCGGCCACACUGGGACUGAGACACGGCCCAGACUCCUACGGGAGGCAGCAGUGGGGAAUUUGCCCAAUGGGCGCAAGCCUGAUGCAGCGACGCCGCUGAGGGAUGACGGCCUUCGGGUUGUAACCUCUUUCAGUAGGGAAGAAGCGAAAGUGACGGUACCUGCAGAAGAAGCACCGGCUAACUACGUGCCAGCAGCCGCGGUAAUACGUAGGGUGCGAGCGUUAUCCGGAAUUAUUGGGCGUAAAGAGCUCGUAGGCGGUUUGUCGCGUCUGUCGUGAAAGUCCGGGGCUUAACCCCGGAUCUGCGGUGGGUACGGGCAGACUAGAGUGCAGUAGGGGAGACUGGAAUUCCUGGUGUAGCGGUGGAAUGCGCAGAUAUCAGGAGGAACACCGAUGGCGAAGGCAGGUCUCUGGGCUGUAACUGACGCUGAGGAGCGAAAGCAUGGGGAGCGAACAGGAUUAGAUACCCUGGUAGUCCAUGCCGUAAACGUUGGGCACUAGGUGUGGGGACCAUUCCACGGUUUCCGCGCCGCAGCUAACGCAUUAAGUGCCCCGCCUGGGGAGUACGGCCGCAAGGCUAAAACUCAAAGGAAUUGACGGGGGCCCGCACAAGCGGCGGAGCAUGCGGAUUAAUUCGAUGCAACGCGAAGAACCUUACCAAGGCUUGACAUGUUCUCGAUCGCCGUAGAGAUACGGUUUCCCCUUUGGGGCGGGUUCACAGGUGGUGCAUGGUUGUCGUCAGCUCGUGUCGUGAGAUGUUGGGUUAAGUCCCGCAACGAGCGCAACCCUCGUUCCAUGUUGCCAGCACGUAAUGGUGGGGACUCAUGGGAGACUGCCGGGGUCAACUCGGAGGAAGGUGAGGACGACGUCAAAUCAUCAUGCCCCUUAUGUCUUGGGCUUCACGCAUGCUACAAUGGCCGGUACAAUGGGUUGCGAUACUGUGAGGUGGAGCUAAUCCCAAAAAGCCGGUCUCAGUUCGGAUUGGGGUCUGCAACUCGACCCCAUGAAGUCGGAGUCGCUAGUAAUCGCAGAUCAGCAACGCUGCGGUGAAUACGUUCCCGGGCCUUGUACACACUAGCCCGUCAAGUCACGAAAGUCGGUAACACC